rnacentral:misc_RNA from 1 species
CAAAAUAAAAAAUCGAUUCGUUACUUUUGUAACAUUUCGGAAUUGAGUCGUCUUGCAUCUUUGAUUCAAGAGACUUAAAAUUGAUCACCUUUGGUAUGAUUUGAGUGUACUUAAGAUUUCUUUAUCGCGCUCGAUGAAUAUCGGACAUUUUCAUUAGGAUGACCAUGAUUGAUCAUGGUUUCAUUCCUAUAAUCAUUUCAUG